rnacentral:rRNA from 1 species
UACGUAGGGGGCAAGCGUUGUCCGGAUUUAUUGGGCGUAAAGAGCGUGUAGGCGGCUAGAUAGGUCCGUUGUGAAAACUGGAGGCUCAACCUCCAGCUGUCGAUGGAAACCAUCUAGCUAGAGUCCGGAAGAGGAGAGUGGAAUUCCUGGUGUAGCGGUGAAAUGCGCAGAUAUCAGGAAGAACACCCGUGGCGAAGGCGGCUCUCUGGGACGUGACUGACGCUGAGACGCGAAAAGCGUGGGGAGCGAACAGG